rnacentral:rRNA from 1 species
UGGGGAAUAUUGCGCAAUGGGGGGAACCCUGACGCAGCCAUGCCGCGUGAAUGAAGAAGGCCUUCGGGUUGUAAAGUUCUUUCGGUAUUGAGGAAGGUUGAUGUGUUAAUAGUACAUCAAAUUGACGUUAAAUACAGAAGAAGCACCGGCUAACUCCGUGCCAGCAGCCGCGGUAAUACGGAGGGUGCGAGCGUUAAUCGGAAUAACUGGGCGUAAAGGGCACGCAGGCGGUUAUUUAAGUGAGGUGUGAAAGCCUCGGGCUUAACCUGGGAAUAGCAUUUCAGACUGGGUAACUAGAGUACUUUAGGGAGGGGUAGAAUUCCACGUGUAGCGGUGAAAUGCGUAGAGAUGUGGAGGAAUACCGAAGGCGAAGGCAGCCCCUUGGGAAUGUACUGACGCUCAUGUGCGAAAGCGUGGGGAGCAAACAGGAUUAGAUACCCUGGUAGUCCACGCUGUAAACGCUGUCGAUUUGGGGGUUGGGGUUUAACUCUGGCGCCCGUAGCUAACGUGAUAAAUCGACCGCCUGGGGAGUACGGCCGCAAGGUUA